GGGCUCCCAAGCUCCGCGCAGACCCUUGGGCCAGCCUUGGCCGCUACCCGAGCGCCUCUCCACCAGACCUUGGAGGGAAGUUGGGGGAAGGGCGGGAGAGCACCGGCGCCCAGGGCGCAGGGGCCAGAGCGAGCCUGGCGUUCCGCCGCAGCCGGCUGAGACUCGGCGACGCGGGGGCUGUACCUGUGGCUGCGGGGCCGACGGCCGGCUGCAGGGCGGCUGGCUCUCCCGCCUCGAGACUAGGCGCACUCCCAUCCCCGCCGCAUGUUCUCCACGCGGGCUCCAGCGCGCUCACCACCGCCACCGCCGUCGUCUCGGCUUUAUUUACCCAGCCCGGCGCGCGCCGCCCGGGAACAGGAAUAGCGAGGCCUUCUCAUGUUUCCUGACUGCCGGUCCCAGCCGGCGAACAUCCUGCGGGCGCGGUAUCCACGUUCCCGGGCGGGUGGAGAGGAAGCGUCCGCGCCCGCCCGGCCGCGGGGGCUGCUGUUAACCCCUAGCAGAGGAGCCGCUGCCGGGGAGCCCCGGGCCCGCCGAGUCCUCCGGAGCCGGGCGCGGCUCCCAGAUCCGCCGGCCUUGCAGUCGUGGAGCAGACGGGGCUUUUCCCUUCGCACUUUAGGAGAGAAAUUGGAGAAGCUGCCGGGAGCGCUCGGCUCCGGCUCCAGAAGCUGAGAGGCUGCGGUGCAAAUCCCGUGUCUUAGCUGGCCCGAUUGCCGGAAAUUUCACUGCGCGUGGCUAGGCGGGAGAGGCCACUGUGACGCGCCCUGUAUUUUCCUCUCGAUUAGCUGGAGGGAAGUUAGAGCUCCGUUUUGCACCUACAGCCCUGGAGCGUAUUGCGGGAAGUGCUAGUGCCCAGGAGCCUCUUUUCUGAUGUCACUGGGCUUCUGGGGUCCUAGUUGUCUCAGUCAAAGCCAGGCACACAUUCACCUCCGGGGCAAGGGCUGGUGAGGCUGCCCUCGCCGCUGGGUAUAGGGAUGGGGGAAAGCAAGGAUGGGAUGAGUUCAGCCCAGGUGGCCAACCCGCGGUGGCCCAAGUGCAGAAGAGGAAGCGCGCCCAAAGCCAAGGAUCUGCACGCAGCAAAGGAGAUGGAACUUAGAAGAAUCACAAGCUGGGACACAGGGCAAAGAGAGAGAAUGGCUACCAGAUUCUCUGAUUGAUGAUACUUUGCUUCCUAACAUUACCGCAAAUAUAAGUAGCGAAAGCGGCGGUUUAGGUGCAACUGCAAGCUCAGAGCUUCUGGCAGCCCAGAAGAUCCCCAAGGUGCCAACACGAAGCUGCCUGCGCUCUCGCCGAAGGCCCUGUGGUCCUAGCGAACUUUCGCCCUUUUUAAAGAACAAACUUAGAUUUCCCCCCACCAAGCUUAAAGAAAUAGCGCCAUUUGUCCUUUUCCCCUCUAAAUGCGGCUGGCCAGAGCCGGGGCAGUGGCCCACCUUAGCAUCUUCUUCGUGUGUGUGUGUGUGUGUGCGCGUGUGUGUGUGUGUGUUUGUGUGUUGGGGGGGUCGCUAGAAGUGCUUAAAAUAUAUACCAAAACUAUUAUUUUAAAGACUAAUCACACCCUCAAAUUUCAUAUGUGUCACCUCCCAAAUUACGCGAUAGCAAACCGUUGUGCAGGGGUACAAUGUAAACCAUAAAGGAAGGCCGGUUUACAUUUUUGCGCACCAGGAAGAUACAAAGUAUCAUUGGAGCACGUUCUGAUGUCCUCGGUUCUCUUUUGUUAUAUAACUUGCUGUUGCAGCGCUUGCAUCUUGUCUUUGGCGCUGCCCUUGUGGUGUGAGUUCAGUACAGGCUUCUGGUCUACAGACCUCGCUGUAGGAGCUUAAAGACAGGGGUAAAUCCUAAGGUUUCAGCCAUCAAUUUUCAGCUAACAAAUUUCACCACAGAAGCAGAUCUAAUUGAUAAUUCAUAGGACAAAAGAGCCACCUUCUCUUUUAUGGUCUCUAUCAGUGGUGUUAGUCACCGGGAAUUGUAAUGAAAUUAGCUCUAACAUACCCCUGAAACAUUUUUUGGUCAGCUGUCCCAGGUAAAGCAAUAGGCAUCAUACAGUUACUUGCAAUUUCCCAGUAUUCUACUAACUUUUUGAGCUAUAUGCUAUAGUACAUGUUAGUAUAGGACAAAUGAAUUUUGUUGUUUUAGUACUUAACUAUAUUUACUCAAUUUAAAAAUGCAUUUAGAGCGCUUUUAAGAUAUACUUACAUGUAAUAUUUGUUUUCUUAAAGUCUGAAAUGAAAUAUACAGCAAAAAUCUUAAUGCAAAAAUACUUUUCAUUUGAUAUAGGAAUAAAAUACAUUUGAGUAAGCCUCAACUCACUAAAAAAUUAACAUAUGGUAAUUCCCUUAGACUAUGAUUUAAUAAUUAAAAUCCAUUUAAAAAUGAAAGAAGAGUGAAGGAUCCAUUCUAGAAGUGAAAUGGUGUGAAAUAUCCCUCUGUAAUAUACCAAUGGGCAUUUAUUUUAUUUUUGCAAGUUUUAUCCUCUAUGCAAAAGGGAAGUGUUGUCUUCAUUUUAAUCCACACUUCAAAUACAUUCAUUAUUAAAUUACACCUAUUUCUAAAAUAAAUGUUACUCAGCCUCUUGUGCUAUAUCCAAUGUCAGUAUAUGAAAUGCUAUAUAUAAUCCUCAGAAGUAAAGCUUCCAGUUUCAGAAAGUUUUAGAAGAUUUAAGAAAGCAUAUGUAGUUUGUGGAAGAUGGCCUUAUGCAGGGGGAAAAAAAACCCAAAACACCCAACAACUUAGACCAGAAGUCAGAAGACUUGAGCCCUAAUCUUAAUUCUGGUUAAUUUGAUGAUGGUUUAGCCUGAAUUUAGUAAAGUGUAAAAUGACGGUAAUAAGUUUUCCACAAACUGCCUUACACUAUUAUGAAGGGUUUCUUUUUUUUAAUGUGAAAGUAAGAUACUGCUUUGCUAAAGCUAGAAAGAUGUUAAGUAAGAACAUUUGAAAGAAAUAUUAAUUCAUUGUAUUGGACUCUGCAGUUAUAAAUAUAUGUAAUUAUUACUUUCUGGUAAAGAAAAAAAUAAGUCUUCAGUUUUAGCAUUUUGAUAUUUUACCAAAUUACCCUGACAUUUCAGAAUAAAUAUUAGUCAAAAUGUUU
rnacentral:lncRNA from 1 species